UCAAAUAAAACAAGAGGAUUCUACAGAUGCACUUCACAUAUAUAUUAAAAAGUCUGGUCAUCAAACAUUUUACAAUGUAUGCAAUUAAUUGAUUACACAUGAAGAUUUCCUCAUAAUUUAGCAUCUGCAAUUUCUAGACAUUCGAGCAAUACAAAAUGUAACAAACACAAAGAGUAAAGCUUGUAAGGUCUUCUGUGUGAGCUCAACGCAUAUGGUUACAGCAAGUUGUCUUAACCAGUCUUGCAGAAACAUUUUCAACCUGGACAGAAAGUGACCAAAUGACAAGUACACACAUUAGAAAACAUAAUCUCCAUUACAUUUAUUACAAUAGUUAAAGAAUGUACAGUGUUCACCACCCCUAUUUAUUAUAAGAAAAACACCUACAUAAUCAAGAGAAUUUCUCAACGAAUUUCCCUUUAAGGCAUCAAAUGAAUAUUCGAUUUAAUAAGAAACAAACAAAUGACAACAGUUUCAAGACUGGGCACAUGAAUUAAGCACAUCUAGUUGCCCUUCCUGGAAAGCAUGACAACAGUUUCAGGUCUAGAAAGAUAAUUAAACCCACAUGGCAUGGUGUGAUUACCACCAAUAUUAAGUUUACUUUCCUGAAAGUGAAGAAUCAUCGAACUGUGUCUGUACAUAAGACAAAAUAGGAACAACAUGUUUACAUCAUAGGUAUCAUAGGAUCUUAUCUUUUUGUAUAAGCACACAAAGGAAAGUAGUACAUCAAAGAAAACUCAAACUUCAUUCCAGCAUUGACUGACACUAGUAUCGAAACUAAAAUGUUUAGAGUUAGGUUUAACUCAAAAGAACAUACAGAACCUUUUCACAAGCAUAUAUAAUGAUAUUCAGGUGUGAGCUUCUGAGAGGAAACACAAGGAUAUUUUCAAAUAAUGCUACUUUAUAUAGAGAGAAAAGAGACAUGUAGGAUAUAAAAGAAUUGUGCAAAAUACCUCUUUUACCAAUCUAGUCACAGAUUAGUACCGUGAUUCCUGAAGAACAGCAACCAACAUGCAAAUUAGAUUGCAAGUAAAGACCAACCUGUAACCACUACGAUGAAAGAUAUAGAAAAUUAAACAAGAAAUUCCAAAGUUUACUAGAUACAACUCUACUACACAUUAAAUGUUUAUUUUUUAAAUAAUGUUAAGAUCUGUACGGAAGUGUAGUAUCUUGAACCUUCAAUCUUACAACAAGAGCUCAUAAAAGAAGACCUUGAUUAAGUAGCGGCACAAACCAGAAUGAGUAGUAUAUCUACACAUAUGUUUUGACUAGUACGGAAUGAGCAAAUAUCUCAAUUCCCUUCCAUGCACAUGACUUUGAGUUGUAGUGAAUUGGUUCAUAAAGUCUUUAAAUAUAAUAUACAUGAGAUUGGAUCAGAUCAUAUCAAGAAAUAACUAUUCCAAAGCAAGUAGCCAUAUAUACGACCAGAACACCUAUUUGUACUAGCAUAAUUUUCAACUUUCAGUAUGUAUCUACAACAAGUUUCCUGCCAUGUACAAAAUACUAAAUAGUGUAUUGCUAGAUCAACCACUUUUUACACAUGAAAAGAAAUACUGGACUAAGCAGCACCUAUGCUCUUCAUAAAUGGUUCUAUGGCAGGCAGACCAACCACUAUGUUUCAUGUACUGCCCAAUAACAAAAGAAAAAGCUUCAGAAUACACAGUAAUGCAAAAGCUCAGUUCUAGUACAUGUAAAAGUUUCCAGUAAUUGUAUGCAUAAAAAGGCAAAGCACAUUCAGGACAUGCAUAUACAUGCCAAGCAAAAUUUUAGUGUGUAUGUUUAUGACAGUUUCAUUUGCAUGAAGCAUAUAAGAAAUGAAAUGCUAAAUAGUUUCAAUGUUCUUAAAUAGCAGCAAGCAUGUAUCCAACAGCAAAAUACUUAAUCCAAGACUUAACUACCAAGAGUAUUACCUCCUCAGUUUUGCUUGCGGUCGUGUACUCAUGUUGCUGGUUCUACGAUGAACUUAGGAUUCACUCCAAGCUUCAUACAUAGAAGCAAACACUUAUAAGAAAUCAACCAUAAUAGUAAUUGGUAAAUAUAUAAUCAUAAGAACAUAAGCUUAUGUGGCUUGUAAGGCCAUGCGAUAAUUGAAGUGAAAUAUAUUCAUCGCACAUACUUGUAUGGUGUAGUUGACACUUCUUGGUGGAGAGGAAAAAGAAGAUGCACGCUGCUCACAGAACAAACAAUCCAAAAAGUUUAUUUCAGUGAAAGCACCAAGUGAGAAUUAGAGAACUUUUUGUAAGGAUUACAUAUAGAACAAAAGAGCAUGGUACUCCGCUAGACUCAUGACCCAUUUUUUCCAUUUUUUCUACUUAGGAGGAUAGCUCCCAAUUUCCAUCACUGAAAACUAAUAGAACACAACCACAUGUCUCAGGUUAGUCCCCCUUUAGGGGUACCCUCAAAACAUCAGAAACUACGCCACACACUCUAACACUACUACCAAACUUGGAUGCAAAAAAUAAACAACGAGCAUCCAAAAUGUUCUAAUUAUCAGCAAGAAAACGACAGUCUUAUUGUAGAGCAAAAUUAUUGCACCUGUAGAUUCCAAAAAAAAGUAACUAAACUACAGGAGAAAGGUAGAACAGCGUGACUAUAAUUUUGCACGUUAUAUAUUCUAUCAUACAAGCUAAAAUGACACAUUUUGACAUAGACCUAACUACUGGAGAAAAUUAGAACAGACGAAAGUACAAAAAAAUCAUGGAACUGGCUGAAUCCAGCGCUGCUUUUUUUAUUAAUUUAAGAAAUAAAAAUCUAGGAAUACUAGUUGUUACAGACCCAUAAGCAAAAGAUAAACCACACCACUGAGUGCUCCCCAAGACUCCAACAAGUAAAGGUACAGAUAGACUCCCAAGAGAUACAAGAAAACAUCAGAUCCUCAUGUAUUCACUUCAAGCAUGAAUGAACCAAUUUGGUGCAGGACUGGUUUGUAGAGGAGGCUCGUGGAGGAGGAGGUGCUGCUGGCCGGGGAGCUCCUGCAGGAGGCGGCACUGCUUGACGAAGUGAGCAAGUCGACGAUGGCCGGGGUGCUAGGCCGUGGUGCUACCCAGAGAGAAAGCACCGGGAGGCAGCGCUGCGGG
rnacentral:lncRNA from 1 species